UCAUAUGUGCUUGGUGUUCUUCUUUUCAUCAUCCAAAGUGCCCCAAAAAUGAUGAACAAACCCUAAUCCUGGCAAAAGUCUCAAAAGUCAAAACCAGUUCUCGUCUCCCUCUCCCUACUCGCCACACCCUUUCUUGUUGCUUCCUAGUCCAGUCUCCGCUGCGUGCUCCCCUGCCUCGCACUGUCCCACCUUUGCCGCCCUGCCUCACGCUGUUGUCACCGCCUUGCCUCGCACCGUCGCCUAGUCUGUGGGUGUUGCCGAUUGGAAGUUGCUAGCGUCGCCGUUGCUGCUGCUCUCUUCUCUGCUGUGGCGCCGCCGGUUUAAAGUAAUGUAGGUUGUUCAAUUAGAAACCAACAACAAAGUGAAGGGAAAAAAAUAUAUCAGAAGAUGAUCAAGAAUUAGAACCAGGAACAGAUGAAGAGAUUGAAGACUUAACUAUUAGGAUUCAGAAUGUUGGAACAGAAGUUGUUGAAGCAAAGGCUGGUGCCGGAUCUGCUAUUCUGUCUAUGGCAUAUGCCGCUGCUAGAUUCGUUGAGUCGUCUCUUCGUGUGCUCGAUGGAUAUGGGGACGUGUGUGCUCGAUGGAGAUGGGGACGUGUACGAGUGCUCCUUUGUACAAUCAGAGUUGAGGCUUUGAUUCCAUCUGAUCUCCAAGGGUUGACUGAAUACGAACAGAAGGCUUUGGAAGCGCUUUAGCCAGAACUUAAGAUCAGCUUCGAAAAGGGGAUUUCUUUUGCUCGGAAGCAAACGGUUGCUGCUUAAACCGUCUAUUUAUCAAAGCAUUUAUUCUCCGUUGUCCCUUGGAAUAGAAAAUCAAAAGGUUGUUUCUCAAGUUAUUAUGGGUUUCUUUAAUUUCUUUGAGCAUAAAUACUUCUUAGAGAAGUUAGGUUGAGGAUUUUAUUGUAGGAUCAUACUGCAUUUAGGACUUGGGAUGCCAAAUUUUCCAAACUAUCAAUUCUGCUUCCAGCUUUAUUGGUAGAUAGGGAGUGAGUUUCAUUCCUGUUACUUGAAUUGUGCUCUAGUGUGUUUGUCAGAAAUAUCAAAAUAUAUUAUUGUUAUCAUGUAUAACUGUUACACUUGAAUCUUUAAUUUCUCAUUGAGUUUUUGAAUAACAAGGCUGGGCCUGGGACAUGUUUCAAUAA